UGAGAGUGAUUGUUCGAAUCGGUAGUGG
rnacentral:piRNA from 1 species